GCGGCGGACGGGUAGUAUAGUCUAGGAACUGCCUGAUGGAGGGGGAUAACUACUGAAACGGUAGCUAAUACCGCAUAACGUCGCAAGACNAAGAGGGGGACCUUCGGGCCUCUUGCCAUCAGAUGUGCCCAGAUGGGAUUAGCUAGUAGUGGGGUAACGGCUCACCUAGCGACGAUCCCUACUGGUCUGAGAGGAUGACCAGCCACACUGGAACUGAGACACGGUCCAGACUCCUACGGGAGGCAGCAGUGGGGAAUAUUGCACAAUGGGCGCAAGCCUGAUGCAGCCAUGCCGCGUGUAUGAAGAAGGCCUUCGGGUUGUAAAGUACUUUCAGCGGGGAGGAAGGUGUUGUGGUUAAUAACCACAGCAAUUGACGUUACCCGCAAAAAGCACCGGCUAACUCCGUGCCACAGCCGCGGUAUACGGAGGGUGCAGCGUUAAUCGGAAUUACUGGGCGUAAAGCGCACGCAGGGCGGGUCUGUCAAGUCGGAUGUGAAAUCCCCCGGGGCUCCAACCUGGGGACUGAUUCGAAACUGGGCAGGGNUAAAGUCUUGGUAAGGGGGGGUAAAUCCCAGGUGUUACCGGUGAAAUGCGUUAAAA
rnacentral:rRNA from 1 species